UACGUAGGGCGCAAGCGUUGUCCGGAAUUAUUGGGCGUAAAGAGCUCGUAGGCGGCUUGUCACGUCGGGUGUGAAAGCCCGGGGCUUAACCCCGGGUCUGCAUUCGAUACGGGCUAGCUAGAGUGUGGUAGGGGAGAUCGGAAUUCCUGGUGUAGCGGUGAAAUGCGCAGAUAUCAGGAGGAACACCGGUGGCGAAGGCGGUUCUCUGGGCAUGUCCUGACGCUGAGACGCGAAAGCGUGGGGAGCGAACAGG
rnacentral:rRNA from 1 species